AAUCAACGCUGGCGGCGUGCCUCAGACAUGCAAGUCGAACGAUUAAACUUUCCUUCGGGAAAGAUAUAAAGUGGCGCACGGGUGAGUAACACGUAGGUAAUGUACCUUUGGGUGGGGAAUAACCAUCGGAAACGAUGGCUAAUACCGCAUAAUGCAGCGGCAUCGCAAGAUGACAGUUGUUAAAGAUUUAUCGCCUAAAGAGCAGCCUGCGGCAGAUUAGGUAGUUGGUAAGGAAUGGCUUACCAAGCCUGCGAUCUGUAACCGACCUGAGAGGGUGGUCGGUCACACUGACACUGAAUAACGGGUCAGACUCCUACGGGAGGCAGCAGUCGGGAAUUUUGGGCAAUGGGCGAAAGCCUGACCCAGCAACGCCGCGUGAAGGACG
rnacentral:rRNA from 1 species